rnacentral:misc_RNA from 2 species
AACGCACCUUGCGCCCUUUGGUAUUCCGAAGGGCAUGCCUGUUUGAGUGUCAUUAAAUUCUCAACUUCAAUAGUUUUUAUAGCUCAUUGAAGCUUGGAUGUGGGAGCUUGCUGGCGUCUUAGAUGUUCGGCUCUCCUUAAAAGCAUUAGUGGAAACUCGUUUGUUGGACCACCCUUGGUGUGAUAAUUAUCUACGCCUUGGUCAGUCUGGCAGCUCUGGUUUGAUUGUCCUCAGGCGUUCCAGUGGAGCGUUCUGGUUGGGGCGGCUGCAUUAACUUGCUCUGCCUGCAAUAAGAUCUCACUAGAGUAGGGAUGUCUGCUUUCUAACCGUCUGUGUAUUCAGACAAUUUAUUGACUAUUUGACCUCAAAUCAGGUAGGACUACCCGCUGAACUUAA